AGUGAACGCUGGCGGUAGGCCUAACACAUGCGAGUCGAACGGCAGCACAGUAAGAGCUUGCUCUUACGGGUGGCGAGUGGCGGACGGGUGAGGAAUACAUCGGAAUCUACUUUUUCGUGGGGGAUAGCGUAGGGAAACUUACGCUAAUACCGCAUACGACCUACGGGUGAAAGCAGGGGAUCUUCGGACCUUGCGCGAUUGAAUGAGCCGAUGUCGGAUUAGCUAGUUGGCGGGGUAAAGGCCCACCAAGGCGACGAUCCGUAGCUGGUCUGAGAGGAUGAUCAGCCACACUGGAACUGAGAAACGGUCCAGACUCCUACGGGAGGCAGCAGUGGGGAAUAUUGGACAAUGGGCGCAAGCCUGAUCCAGCCAUACCGCGUGGGUGAAGAAGGCCUUCGGGUUGUAAAGCCCUUUUGUUGGGAAAGAAAAGCAGCAGGUUAAUACCCCGCUGUUCUGACGGUACCCAAAGAAUAAGCACCGGCUAACUUCGUG
rnacentral:rRNA from 1 species